AGCAUUGAAAAAACGUCUCUGUGUGUGUGACAUGUCAUGUGUUCAUGAAAUAUGUCCUGAGGUUAUCCUCUUGUCUUGUCUAUAAGGUAACAGAGCAGCACUUCUCAGUAGAUUAGAGUGUGUUCAUGUGAAGCAUUAUUUGGUCUCACAAGAGUUCAGAGUUCAGACACUGGAACUUGGGUAACUGCAUAAACUCAUGUCUGAAUCUAUCAUUUAAAAGACUUCAAAUAUUG